AGACUAGCAUCAGCUCUCCUGUUGUGGAGUUGUUAUCUUUCAGCACAAUAGCAUUCCCUUUCCCCUCCACCUCCAUGAUUUCUAGAAUAGUUUAACAUACUGAUCUCCUGAAGUACUUGCAUGCUGGUUGAAAGGAAAUGAGGACCACGAGAAAGGAGGAUGUGCAAGGAGCUCCUCUCAUGGAGGAACAGUAAUGGAAGCACAUACAGCUCUCCCAGCUCGAAGAGAAAUAGAGCAUCUUGAGUCCCUGAAACGAAGAGGAGAGAAGAAGAGAAAACAGCCCAAAACUUGUGUUUGUGAAGCUAAUAUCCAGCUCUGUUUUGAGAAGCUGUGAAGAGUGACCUCUAAGAAAUAAAUUACUGGAAAAUAACACAUAGCACUGCUCCAGUACUGGAAAAUAUUCUUAAAAAAGAUGAGACCAUGGAAAGGAAGAGAGGCCACCUUGCUGUGCUGCUUGUGUGAUACACUCCCAGGGAGCAGGAGCAGAAGGUCAUAACUAGUUCUGUCAAUGUCACGUUCAGUAAAUGAAGAAUAGGACUUUGUCUUCGAGCACCACUAUCAGGAAGAAAGAAAUAGCAAAAAUAGCCUUGCUGCUUCAUUAAUGUACAACACAGAGAGAUUGGCAGGUCUGUGGAGUGCCAUUAAUGGCGUUCAUAGCAAUACCCUGUUGGCCUCACUUACCAAAUUGAGUAUAUAUUUAAUUAUGUACAGUAAAAAUAUUAGUGAUUUAGAUGUUUAUGUAAUUAGCUUUUUAAUGUAAAAGUCAACGCCAAGCUGAUCUUUAUGUACCUUCAGAUGUCAUCAGAAGUACUUAUUCAGACACAAUUCACAAUAAAUUCAUGUUUUAGGAAG